GGGGUUGUGGCUCAGCGGUGGAGCGCUGCCUAGCACCCAUGAGGCCCUGGGUUCCAUCCUCAGCACCACA
rnacentral:tRNA from 1 species